rnacentral:tRNA from 1 species
CGCGGGGUGGAGCAGCCCGGUAGCUCGUCAGGCUCAUAACCUGAAGAUCGCAGGUUCAAAUCCUGCCCCCGCGUCCA